UUCUCUACCAGUCAACCAAUGGGCUAUACCAGAAAGAUUAAGUAGGUCUUUAGUGUUAAACGGUAUUUGGUUUAUUUGGUAAUUUUUAUGUGAUUUCUUCAAAGAAUCGCGGACUCUUUUAAUCCUGAUAGCCUGAUAGGAGAAAGGAACUGUCCCAAGAUUUGUUUUCCAUUCCGUUUACCAUUUUUUCAUAGCUAUAUCGGUAAUGGGAUGGACAAUCCCAAAAAUGUCUGGAAAUCUUGGGACAAUUUUUUUCCCCUAUUAG